rnacentral:misc_RNA from 1 species
CCAAACUUGGUCAUUUAGAGGAAGUAAAAGUCGUAACAAGGUCUCCGUUGGUGAACCAGCGGAGGGAUCAUUACUGAGUUAUCCAAAACUCCAACCCUAUGUGAACUUACCACUGUUGCCUCGGCGAGCCGUGCUACCCUACAGCUACCCUGUAGCUACCCGGUAGCACAAAGACGCUCGCCAGAGGACCAAACCAAACUCUGUUUUACUACGUAUCUCUGAGUCUUAUAACUGAAAUCAGUUAAAACUUUCAACAACGGAUCUCUUGGUUCUGGCAUCGAUGAAGAACGCAGC